UGCCUUCCAGAUGUUGCUAGGCAACCACCUACCAAGAAUCCUGCUUGGCGUCAACAGCAGGAUCGCUGCCCACUGCACCUGCUUGACGAUCACUGCCAAUCGCUGCCCACCAUUGGAGAGAGUUUGACUACUGGGAUCCACACUCCUCUACAUCCAUCAGUCCUAUAGGCAGUAAAAAGGCGUGAUGAGUAUGCACUGCGUGCCCGUCAAAACUUUGCGUUGCAGCUCCUGAUUCUGAGCUGUACAAGCAGACAUCCUAAGCAGCUGCAGUCUCAGGAAAUGGCACAUUUCACAAAGCUAGAAGAACUUGACAACGUGUGGGGUUGGUCGAGUAUUAAUAAGUGAGGGCCUGCUCCAACAUUCUGGUCUUACAGAGAGAAAACAAAAGUCUCAUAUCGCGGAUUGAUGAAUCGUUCCCCCAGGAACAUGCUUUGCAGAGAAGCCAUGGACGUGCUGGAGCCAGCCAUUGACAUGUUGUCGAGGUUAUCAUGUGAGGAGCGGAUAGAAAUUGUGUUGAUGUCUGGUGAAUGCAGUAACCUCAAUGCAAGAUUUCAAUGCAAGACACCCUACGAGACCACCUGAGACCACCCAAAAAUUUUGAAAGUAGCUGUGGACAGCGUUUUUUCUACACCAGAAAAGACCCGGUGUAACAUUGCGCCUAUUUAACGUAGGAAUGCGACAAAACAUGCGACUUAUACCGAGACCACCCAAAAAUUUAGAAAGUAGCUCUGGACAGCGUUUUUUCUACACCAGAAAAGACCUGGUGUAACAUUGUGCCUAUUUAUCGUAGCAUGCGACAAAACAUGCGACUUAUACCGUUUGUCGCACAUGAUGAAUUCGUGACCACUGCAAAUAAAGGGCUAUAUUAACACGAAGUAAAGUCUGGACUGGAAAACUGCAUAAAUGGUUUGGCGCAAAGAUCUGUCACACGCAGGCACAUGAACAAAAAAUGCAAUAAGCAUAGACUGAAAAGAGGGUAAACACCUUGAUAAAUUCCCCCCAAUGUGCUUUAGUGUCAGGAGCUUGUCUAAGCAAAGCUUUCAACACAUAAUGAAAGAGAAUUAUUUUAUAGAAGAUUUAUCAAGUGGACCUUGCUUUAAGCAUAGGUUUAAUCAUCAUGAUCAUAAAGUAAUAACCAUUGUUAA